GGGCACAUGGUGUAGUUGGUUAUCACAUCCGCUUAGCAUGGUAUCUCAUAUCGUAUUUCAGCUUGCGGGGGGUGCUGGGUUCAAUUCCCAGUGUGUCCA